rnacentral:piRNA from 1 species
UGGAAGAAGAAUGGUUAGUCUUAUU